rnacentral:lncRNA from 1 species
GCCAUUCCAAAAAUAGAUUAUGUGUUUUAGGAUUUGUCUUUUGCUACAAGCCAAAAGUAAAAGUUGAAACAAACAGGCUUAAGUUCAACAAGUCGGUGGAAAAUAUUUUUUCUUGUAUUACCUAAAGUACUGACCAUUGUGAAUAAAUAAAGGAUCACUUUCAUUUUUGACAAUGGUGAAAGCAUUUCUUAAUAAUAAUACUGCUUACCCUCUAAAAAAACUGCAUGCCGAGCACAAAAUAGGCAUAGAUUGGCCCAAAACCGAUCAACGCAACCCACACGAGUCCACGACUAUUUUACUUUUACCUUAC